CCGGUUUUUUUUACAAUAAAAUAGGAAAAAAGACGAAGAUAAUGACCUCAAGGACAACGUGUGAGGAGACAUAGCGUCGGAGCUGCAGUAUGAGCAUGUUGAUGAAGUAAAGAAGCUGUGGAAAAGUCUGAGGGACACCUGUGAGAAAGAAGAGAGGUGCAGAGUGAUCAGGCAUAUGCCACGCAGAAGGAGAGAUGGAAGUUUAUGGAGGCAAUGGCUUUUUUUU